UCAUUCACCUCUUUUCUCUCAUUUCACACUCAGUUACUCUCUCUCCUCUCCUCUCCUCUCCUCCAUCAAUCUUCCCCAUUCAAUUGGUGAUGAAACAAGGCGAGAAAAAUGGCGAUAUGGGACGAGGAGAGAGAAAAAAUGGUGAAAUUGGGGGUUUUGAUGAUUUUUAGAUCGGAGGGUUUAUUGAUUUUGCUCUAAGGCUUCUCCAUUCUCCAACUCGCUAGAUCUAGCUUAGUCAACCCAGCUUUCCUCUUUGUAAAAGAAAUAAAAUCAAAUCAAAUUGAAUUUCGUCGGUCCAAGCAAUUGAAGCGUUCCAUUGAAGCGCACUUGACGUUCUCCAUUGAAGCAGCUUCUGAAGUGACUAAGCUCUCUCUUGAAGAAACUGAGAGUGUGACUGCUGACCAUGGUGAGAGCAUUAGUCAUGUAACUUUUGGGCUAAGAACUAGAUCAGGAACCAAGCAAUUGAAGCUGGAUCCGAAUAUCUACUUUGCUUUGAUAAAGGAAAAGUGAAUAAACUGCGUUAUCAGGUUUUGAUGGAGUGGAGAUCCAUGGAGCCCAUGGCUACCUCAUUGACCAAUUCCUAAAAGAUGGCUGUACAAAAUUUAAGCUUCAUCAAGACAGUAUACAAUUCUACAAGAUUUUUCAAGUUCUUAGUCUACUAUAUGGAAUAUAAAACUUGUUUAAAUUUUCAUGUUG